rnacentral:rRNA from 1 species
AUUGAACGCUGGCGGCAGGCUUAACACAUGCAAGUCGAGCGGGGGAAGGUAGCUUGCUACCGGACCUAGCGGCGGACGGGUGAGUAAUGCUUAGGAAUCUGCCUAUUAGUGGGGGACAACAUCUCGAAAGGGAUGCUAAUACCGCAUACGUCCUACGGGAGAAAGCAGGGGAUCCUCGGACCUUGCGCUAAUAGAUGAGCCUAAGUCGGAUUAGCUAGUUGGUGGGGUAAAGGCCUACCAAGGCGACGAGCUGUAGCGGGUCUGAGAAGAUGAUCCGCCACACUGGGACGGGGAGCCGGCGCAGACUGCUAGGGGAGGCGGCAGUGGGGAAUAGUGGACAAAGGGGGGAACUCUGAUCCAGCCAUGGCGCGUGUGAAGAAGGCCUUAUGGUUGUAAAGCACUUUAAGCGAGGAGGAGGCUACUUUAGUUAAUACCUAGAGAUAGUGGACGUUACUCGCAGAAUAAGCACCGGCUAACUCUGUGCCAGCCGCCGCCGUAA